rnacentral:lncRNA from 1 species
UGCCAUGCUGAUUCUGAGUUCAACUCUUCAACUGGGGCUGGACUUGAGGGUUGAGAAAUGAGCCUCCUAAACACUGAGCUAACUCUGGUAAUACAAGUAUCAAUCUCAUCAUCCACAUGGAGAGCCUUGGAGAGUGUACUGCCAGGAGACAAGACAGCCUCUCCAUGA